AAGUCUGAACACUAUCUGGCUAGAAAGCAAUCCAGAUUGAAUCUAUCUUAAGAUGGAUUGCAAACCCCAGUGUGAACGGGUCUCCGUGUUGGAGACA